UACGAAUGGGGCAAGCGUUGUUCGGAAUCACUGGGCUUAAAGCGUAUGUAGGCGGACAAGAAAGUCAGGAGUGAAAUCCCAGGGCUCAACCCUGGAACUGCUUUUGAAACUCCUUGUCUAGAAUCCGGUAGAGGUUAGGAGAAUUCCCAGUGUAGAGGUGAAAUUCGCAGAUAUUGGGAGGAAUACCAGUGGCGUAGGCGCCUAACUGGACCGGUAUUGACGCUCAGAUACGAAAGCGUGGGGAGCAAACAGGAUUAGAUACCCUGGUAGUCCACGCUGUAAACUAUGUGUGCUAGUUGUUGGGCCCUUAAGGGUUCAGUGACGCAGGGAAACCAUUAAGCACACCGCCUGGGGAGUACGGUCGCAAGAUUA
rnacentral:rRNA from 1 species